rnacentral:tRNA from 1 species
GGGGCGUUAGCUCAGUUGGGAGAGCAUCUGAUUUGCAAUCAGAAUGUCGCAGGUUCAAGUCCUGUACGUUCCA